CUGAGGUCAACAUAGCAGGUUCAUAGAUAUUAAACAAACAAACAGACUGAGUGAUCCACUUUAAGAUUGUUUCAAGCUCACCAGUGAGAUGAUAUGUCUGCGUCAUCAAGCCUUUUGAUGGACAGCAUUUUAUCAAAAAUUGGGAAGAGAAAGAAGUUGGGAAAAAUACUAAUACUUGCUGUGAGACUAAAGGGA